rnacentral:rRNA from 1 species
UACGUAGGGUGCGAGCGUUAAUCGGAAUUACUGGGCGUAAAGCGUGCGCAGGCGGUUUUGUAAGUCAGAUGUGAAAGCCCCGGGCUCAACCUGGGAACUGCGUUUGAAACUACAAGGCUAGAGUGUAGCAGAGGGGGGUAGAAUUCCGACGUGUAGCAGUGAAAUGCGUAGAGAUGUGGAGGAAUACCAAUGGCGAAGGCAGCCCC